AUGGUCCUGCUGCUCGCGUGAUGUUCUAUGCGUCUUGAGCCAACAUUUAACGAUAUGGGAGCUGUCGUUUUAGAGGGGAUGCGGUAGCCUGCGUAAGGGCAAGGCAGAAACUUCUAUUCGGGCACCCACCUGCCGAAGGCAGGUUCAAAGGCAAUUAGAUUGCACACGGUUCAGCGGGAUCAAG
rnacentral:other from 1 species